rnacentral:rRNA from 1 species
GAUGAACGCUGGCGGCGUGCCUAACACAUGCAAGUCGAACGAUUAAAGCACCUUCGGGUGUGUAUAAAGUGGCGAACGGCCGAGUAACACGUGGGCAACCUGCCUCUUUCAUUGGGAUAGCUACGGUAAACCGUGGAUAAUACCGAACACUUCAAAACUUCCGCAUGGAAGAUCCGAGAAAGCCCCGGCGGUUGGGGAUGGGCCCGCGGCCUGUUGGCUUGUUGGUGAAGUAACGGCAUACCAAGGCAAUGAAGGGUAGCUGGGUUGAGAGACCGACCAGGCAGAUUGGGACUACGGGACGGACCAGACGCGUACGGGAGGCAGCGGUCGGAAAUCUUGCGCAAUGGGCGAGCGCCUGAUGCGGAGGCGCCGCGUGCGUGAUGAACGCCUACGAGUUGUAAACCGCUUUCAGCAGAGACGAGGCGAAAGUGACGGUACCUGCAGAAGAAGCCCCGGCUAACUACGUG